UUGGUAUUGUGUAUUUCAUUUUUAUUCCUUCUUGCAACAAUUGUCACCUAUAAAUUGAGAGAGAAACCAUGUGGUAUCUGUGAACUAACAUAAUAUAAUUGAUGUGACAGUUUAAUUUUGAAAUAUGGUGUUUUCUAAGUGGUGCAGGAGAUAAGUUCACUUUUUAUUCAACAUCAUUUUGAUGCAAAUUCUUGGGCUUAGAUCAUA
rnacentral:lncRNA from 1 species